AGUGGGGAAUAUUGGGCAAUGGGGGCAACCCUGACCCAGCGACGCCGCGUGAGGGAAGACGGCCUUCGGGUUGUAAACCUCUUUUGUACGGGAAGAAGGAUGUGACGGUACCGUGCGAAUAAGUCCCGGCUAACUACGUGCCAGCAGCCGCGGUAAUACGUAGGGGACGAGCGUUGUCCGGAAUUACUGGGCGUAAAGGGCGCGCAGGCUGUAGAUCAAGUCAGCUGUGAAAUGUCUGGGCUUAACCCGGGCAUGCGGUUGAAACUGAUGUACUGGAGUGCUGUAGAGGCAAGUGGAAUUCCCAGUGUAGCGGUGAAAUGCGUAGAUAUUGGGAAGAACACCGGUGGCGAAGGCGACUUGCUGGGCAGCAACUGACGCUGAGGCGCGAAAGCCAGGGGAGCAAACGGGAUUAGAUACCCCGGUAGUCCUGGCCGUAAACGAUGAAUGCUAGGUGUGUGUGUAGAGAUACAUGCGUGCCGGAGUUAACGCGAUAAGCA
rnacentral:rRNA from 1 species